GAUGAACGCUGGCGGCGUGCCUAAUACAUGCAAGUCGAGCGAACAGACGAGGAGCUUGCUCCUCUGACGUUAGCGGCGGACGGGUGAGUAACACGUGGAUAACCUACCUAUAAGACUGGGAUAACUUCGGGAAACCGGAGCUAAUACCGGAUAAUAUUUUGAACCGCAUGGUUCAAUAGUGAAAGACGGUUUUGCUGUCACUUAUAGAUGGAUCCGCGCUGCAUUAGCUAGUUGGUAAGGUAACGGCUUACCAAGGCAACGAUGCGUAGCCGACCUGAGAGGGUGAUCGGCCACACUGGAACUGAGACACGGUCCAGACUCCUACGGGAGGCAGCAGUAGGGAAUCUUCCGCAAUGGGCGAAAGCCUGACGGAGCAACGCCGCGUGAGUGAUGAAGGUCUUCGGAUCGUAAAACUCUGUUAUUAGGGAAGAACAAAUGUGUAAGUAACUGUGCACGUCUUGACGGUACCUAAUCAGAAAGCCACGGCUAACUACGUG
rnacentral:rRNA from 1 species